rnacentral:rRNA from 1 species
CUACGGGUGGCUGCAGUGGGGAAUAUUGGACAAUGGGCGAAAGCCUGAUCCAGCCAUGCCGCGUGUGUGAAGAAGGCCUUCGGGUUGUAAAGCACUUUCAGUGGGGAAGAAAGCCUUGGGGCUAAUACCCUCGAGGAAGGACAUCACCCACAGAAGAAGCACCGGCUAACUCCGUGCCAGCAGCCGCGGUAAUACGGAGGGUGCGAGCGUUAAUCGGAAUUACUGGGCGUAAAGCGCGCGUAGGCGGUCUGAUAAGCCGGUUGUGAAAGCCCCGGGCUCAACCUGGGAACGGCAUCCGGAACUGUCAGGCUAGAGUGCAGGAGAGGAAGGUAGAAUUCCCGGUGUAGCGGUGAAAUGCGUAGAGAUCGGGAGGAAUACCAGUGGCGAAGGCGGCCUUCUGGACUGACACUGACGCUGAGGUGCGAAAGCGUGGGUAGCAAACAGGAUUAGAUACCCUAGUAGU